rnacentral:tmRNA from 1 species
GGGGGCGAUAUGGAUUCGACGACGGUAACGAAACUUGAGGUGCAUGCCGAGCGCGCAACAGCUCUCGUAAAACAUAUUGUUGCAAACCUUAUAGUUGCAAACGACGACUAUUACUCCGUAGCUGUCGCCGCUUAAAACCGGCACGCUGCCAGUCACUUCGGCUCUCCUGUUGGCUGAAAUCUGACUGUCACUUUAGACGGGAUCGCUGUUUCCUGCGGGCCUGACGCGGGGCAGUUAAAACUUCCAGGAUCGCUCUGUUUAUCCUGCCUGUCGGAUCAUACAGAGUUAAACCAACGACAGAUCUAAGCAUGUAGAGCCGAGGGUGGAGUAUCGGCGGACGCGGGUUCAAAUCCCGCCGCCUCCACCA